rnacentral:tRNA from 1 species
CCUGGUGGCUCAGAUGGUAAAGCGUCUGCCUGCAAUGCGGGAGACCCAAGGUUCGAUCCCUGGGUCAGGA